UAUCGCUUGCCGCCGGGUAAGUAAAACAGGACGCUAAGUUUCAUAUCAUUAGGCCUUUGAAGAUAUGAAAUUGCAGCGUUUUUUUA
rnacentral:ncRNA from 1 species